AUCCAAGGAAAGACUUUCGUGAAACUAAUAAGCCCAGUUAGCCAGCACAUAUCAACAGCCCCUGACUGAGCAAGAAACGAUUAUCCGCCAUAAUGUAACUUUACAGAGUUCAGUCUAUAUCAUAGAAAUAACAUCUAUUAUUCCUAUGGUUUAUAUAUAACUAUAAUAGUUUUCCAUGCAGGGAAUCCAAAUCGUUACCAGUGCAUGCAUACGCUUGUAAUACAAUUUUAUCAGCAUUGUUAAAACAGUUCAAUUCAUUUCCGCCCUAAACCAAUACUUUAUCUAAACCAAUACUCUAUCUAAACCAAUACUCUAUCUAAACAAUACUCCCCAUACUUUUCUUUUUAAAAAAAGUUUCACAAAAUUUUUCUAAGUUUUACCUGGAGUCAUUCGAACAUUUUGUUUUGUGCAAAAUUUGAACUUUUUAAUUUCUUGCGACUAAACACGAUCAUCUUUGUGGAGAACUGCAGCAUUGCAGUAUACGAACCUCUAACCUGAAGUUCAGGCCCUAAUUUGAAAUAGGGCCCGACACAAAACCUGUCUAGACCGUGGGACGCCCACAUGUUAUUUUUAGACACACAUGCAAUAUGAUUGACAAGUGUUGUAGAUUUCGUUACACAAAAAAAUUAU